UUAAUCGGCAAAAACCAUCAGGUGUAUGCCUUUGUAUCGGAGUUUUCCGAUAAUGAAUUGGAUAUUAUCAGGGAAAUGGGGGUUACACCCGUUACCUACCGUUCAAACCGCAGCGGGCUGAACCCGUUUUCCGAUAUAAAAUCCACCUUCCUCAUAUUUAAAGAACUCAAAAAAAUAUCGCCGGAUUUGGUUUUCCCUUAUUUCGCAAAACCCGUGAUUUUCGGCACUUUUGCCGCAAAACUGGCAGGCGUGCCCAGAAUCGUCGGGAUGCUGGAAGGUUUGGGAUUCGCAUUUACCCCGCAACCGGAAGGCAUACCGUUAAAAACAAAAAUCAUAAAGGGGAUUUUGAUUGCCUUGUACCGCAUUGCCCUGCCGAUGUUGGAAAGCCUGAUUGUAUUAAACCCCGACGACAAAGACGAACUGACGGACAAAUACGGCAUCAAAAUAAAAAACAUCCAUAUUUUGGGCGGAAUCGGUCUGGAUUUGCGGCAAUAUCCUUAUUCCGAGGCGGAUAUUCCCGAUGAAAAAGAACCCGUAAAAUUCCUCUUUAUCGGCAGAUUUCUGAAAGAAAAGGGGAUUGAUGAUUUUAUUCGGGCGGCGGAACAGGUUAAGGACAAAUACCCCGAUACGGUUUUUACCGCUUUGGGCGCAAUCGACAAAUCACGCGCGGGGGGGGGGGGGGGGGG
rnacentral:rRNA from 1 species